UGAUGUGGAGGGAGCGGAGGCUGCGCGGCGGAGAGUAGAGAGCUAGAGGGUGAGAAGCGCUGGGCCGGACCAGAACUGUCUUAGCUUUUCCCUCUGCGGCUGCUCUGGUUGGUUACUUUGAGCCUGCCUCCUCAGCGCCGCAGGAGAGACUUAACAGCAAAAAUGACUGUGUCCUGAGUUCAGCCCCCACUGCUCUGGGAGCUUCCCCCUGGUUUCUGCACCUGAAGAAUGUCAUCCCAGCCGAAGGUUCUUAGGAGCGGGGAGCGACAAAGAAAAACAAAGAAAAGCAGACCUGAAAAUUGGGACCUGGGAGAAAUGGGAACUCAAACCAAAAACAGGAAUCAUCCUUGCUAAUUAGUGCUGAGUGGAUCAGGGACUAACCAGAAUCAGGCAACAAGAAAAUAGACGAGUGCUCUAAACCAGUAUCAUGGCUCCAGUUCCUCUGACAAGGAUUCACAUGGGGUUGCAAUUCUGACUGUGCUGGUGAUGCUGGUUCCAGGUCCCUCAGGAACCCCUCCCCCAGUCUGGUCUGCCCUUGAACUCUAUACUGGCCCCAGGGUAUCCCAGGAUUGUCAGAAAGGCCUGGCCAGGAUUCACCUGGGAGAGGGAUCAGCAUCUCUGCAAAGUUGUUGGAUUGAAAGAACUUUCAUUUUGAGCUACAUCAUUGAAGAGCUUUAAAUCUGAAAAUAAGAAAGACGUUGAACCCUAUUACUCACAUCUCUUUGUCAUUUGAAGCAGAUCCCGAACCACUCAAAAGGACAAAACAAGGAAAUAGCAAUGAAAUUGGAUUCAGUGAAUGGGGUAAGGGUAUUAAGUGUCUGAAAUAUAAGAGAUAAAAAAAUUAGUUUUUACCUUUUUUUCUAUUUUCUAAAUGUUUUGGUGGCUAGAAUAAGAUAUACUUUGAACUCAAGAGCAAUAAAUGUUAAUAUAUUAAAAGUAGCUUUAUGAAAUAUGGAAAGUAUCUUUAUUUCAAAAUACUUCAAAGUAAUCAUCUGAAUAUUUAUCAGAAAUAUUAAGACAACUUAUUAAAUCCUGUAUUAAAAUGAUUGCUUAUUA
rnacentral:lncRNA from 1 species